AUACCCUCCGCCGGAUCAGUGAUCGCUUGGGAAGUAUCAUGACUCAGAUUUUGUAUUUUUCUUUUUAUUUUCAAACUACGUCAGUUUUCUUUCUUUUUCUUAAUUUUUCUCUUUGGCCUGUAUAACGGAUGAUAACUUCGGUUGCAUCUAUCACUAGUAAUUUGUUUGAGUUAUGGUUGGCAGGUCUGGAACAAAGGUUUUAUCACAUCUCACCAUCGAUAUUCGUUUUAUCGGUAUCACCUUCUUUCUUCUCUAAUGUGACUUCUUGUGAGGAUAGUUUUGAGAGUUAGGGGAUGACUUAGGAUGCUAGUAUUUCACUUGAUUGCUU
rnacentral:lncRNA from 1 species